UGCACAGGUUGCUCGGGCGGUAGAAGAAGGCAGGUGCGUGUCCUGAAAUGCAUGAAGUACAUCCUAGUGGAGAGUGCACACACAGAAGGAAGCAGCUACUCAGCCAUGCGGCACUGUAACUCCUAGGAAGAAUCAAGGAUUUCUGCAGCAAGGAAAUUGGAUACGGAUGAGCACCAGGGAGGACACUGCUGGCCACUGAAGGGAAAGCCCAAUGUAGGCAGGAGGCCAGAAUGCGCCAACGAAGGAAGACUGAACACCAGAAGACAGAAAGUUCAGAACACUGAACACAGAAAGACUGAAGCCUGGGGGGAUACAAUGACACAUAAAGCACAGACAGUGAGACCUGAGAGGAAGAAGAUAAAAGGAAGGCUGUGGAACCAGUGUGUUAAGAAAUCUCAUAGCUGACAAUUUGCUAGCAAAGAACAGGAUGCCUACAAAAUUCGUUAAGUGUCAGAUUUCACAGCUUCCUCUGCUCUGCCUAAAAAGGAAAACUCACAUCUUCAAGCUGUUACAAUAAAACUAUUGGCAGUAUGUAAAGUGAGAACA
rnacentral:lncRNA from 1 species